UUUUGUUGUCCUGACAUCUUCAGGUUCCUCUUGGCUGUGAAAUUCCUCGGACCUUCCUUGUUUUGGAUGACUUGGAUGGUUUGGAGGAGCGCUGGACAGAUUCACUGAAUCAGGUGCUGUGGUCAGGAAUCCACUUGGGGAAAAAAAAAAGACUGCAACUGAUUCUGAGGCUCAGACAAGUUUGAGCACCACCAGAAAAGGAUACUGAAUGGUCCACCUGCCCAGAGGGGAUGUGUACAAGCCAGGGUGGAUGCCAAGGCAGAUGGAUGAAAGCAGAGGCAAGAGGAUGGAUGGAGACGCACGGGGACCGAGAGCAGGGCCGACCUCCAGAUUUCAAAGCAAAAGAAGCGAAGUGGUGA